rnacentral:ncRNA from 1 species
ACCAUCCUUUUCUUGGGGUAGUGCUACUGUCCAAUGAACAGGUGGUGAGGACAGUACUGGUAAUGCCUACACAACACACCCGCAUCAACUAGAGCUAUGCUUUACUUUGGUGCAAUUUUUGGAAAA